rnacentral:rRNA from 1 species
UACGUAGGUGGCAAGCGUUGUCCGGAUUUAUUGGGCGUAAAGAGCGUGUAGGCGGCCAUGCAGGUCCGUUGUGAAAACUCGAGGCUCAACCUCGAGACGUCGAUGGAAACCGCAUGGCUAGAGUCCGGAAGAGGAGAGUGGAAUUCCUGGUGUAGCGGUGAAAUGCGCAGAUAUCAGGAAGAACACCCGUGGCGAAGGCGGCUCUCUGGGACGGUACUGACGCUGAGACGCGAAAGCGUGGGGAGCGAACAGG